UACGGGGGGGGUAAGCGUUGUUCGGAAUUACUGGGCGUAAAGGGCUCGUGAGGCGGCCAACUAAGUCAGACGUGAAAUCCCUCAGCUUAACUGGGGAACUGCGUCUGAUACUGGAUGGCUUGGAUUUGGGAGAGGGAUGCGGAAUUCCAGGUGGUAGCGGUGAAAAUGCGUAGAUAUCUGGAGGAACACCGGUGGCGAAGGCGGCAUCCUGGACCAAUACUGACGCUGAGGAGCGAAAGCCAGGGAGCAAACGGG
rnacentral:rRNA from 1 species